rnacentral:rRNA from 1 species
AGCGAACGCUGGCGGCAGGCCUAACACAUGCAAGUCGAACGAACUCUUCGGAGUUAGUGGCGGACGGGUGAGUAACACGUGGGAACGUGCCUUUAGGUUCGGAAUAACUCAGGGAAACUUGUGCUAAUACCGAAUGUGCCCUUCGGGGGAAAGAUUUAUCGCCUUUAGAGCGGCCCGCGUCUGAUUAGCUAGUUGGUGAGGUAAAGGCUCACCAAGGCGACGAUCAGUAGCUGGCCUGAGAGGAUGAUCAGCCACAUUGGGACUGAGACACGGCCCAAACUCCUACGGGAGGCAGCAGUGGGGAAUCUUGCGCAAUGGGCGAAAGCCUGACGCAGCCAUGCCGCGUGAAUGAUGAGGGUCUUAGGAUUGUAAAAUUCUUUCACCGGGGACGAUAAUGACGGUACCCGGAGAAGAAGCCCCGGCUAACUUCGUGCCAGCCGCCGCCGUAA